AGUCUAAAUAUUACAUUUAUGAGAAGAAUGUCUAAAGCUAAUGGGAUAUUUAUUUUAUGUAUUUGGAAUGAAUUUAAGGUACGCAUUCGGGAAAUGCAAUGCAAAUUUCAGUUUUUAAAAAAAGUUAUUAUUUUACAUCUAUUCUUGCUUUCUCAUAUUUGCAGCUGGGUGGAUAAAUGCAAUUUGUUCACUGCAGUAGAUUCAGCACUGUUCAGACAAUUGUCUAUAGGUCACGUAAAAGAGGACGUCUAAGAUGAAGAGACAAGUUCUUUAAAAACCAGAUGCAGCAGCUAUAAGUAAUAUCAACUCUGUAGUGAAAAAAGGAAUUGACAAAACACAACUGUAAUUAAAGAUUGCUUUGCCUGUGUGGCUAAAUAUCCAACAAGUGCUGAAAAAAAACUAAUAAAAGAGCGUUUCAAGGGUGAAAUCAUGACAAAGAAAAUAACACCAGUCUAGAGAAGACGUUGAUAAGAUACUACAAUAGAAGAGAUGUAUCAAAAAUGAAAUAUCAGCUCUGUAUGGUUAACAGUGUUCAAGUAAUGGACCUUUACAGGUUAAAAUGGACACCCACAUGAUCUACUCUGCUGAACAAGGCAAAGGGAUAAUAAAAGAUAAAGUCAAUGAAAGCUGGCCUAGCUGGGUGCUCAAUACAAUAUCAAAGACAGAUUUCUAUCCGACAGUUAUUUUGUAAAACAGUGUUAGAAUUUUUUUGGAGAAUUGCAAGUGGUUACUAUAUCAAAUUAAGGCACCAACCAUUCAUCUUUCGAGGGGCAUGUUUUUUUUUUCUUUCUCAGAACAAACGAUUUUGAACUUUUUAAAGAAACAAACUAAUUUUUUUAUAGCAU